CGCGGCCCCGCUUCCAGCACUGCGCCGCGGCCGGCAAACGCCACCAGGCCCGCAGCCGGGCGUUGCACCGACACGAGGCAGGUCUCCGGCGCGGAGAGCGGGCUCGCCGGCGGUGAUGGAUGCAGGGGAGGCGCCCGGCACACAGUAGGCGCGCAACACCUGCCCACAGCACCCCUCUGAAGGAGAGCUGACAGGCCAGGUGAGAGGUGGAAGUAUUUCAGGCCAUGUCAGCAUCUUCAUGUCAUCAAAGUCCUUCCUGAACUCCAACAGUGUGUGGCCUACUAUAUGCUCCAUCUUGGGACAAUAUACUAAUGGCUAUCCAUUCGAGAUUGGCAAUGCAAAGGCCUCCAGCCCUACCUCAGAGCUAACAGGGCAUGAAUGCGUCAGGGGGUCGCUCUUCUCUUCUAAGGGCCACAAAAGACAAACGUGAUGGAAAGCUGCCUGAUGGGCAGAGCAAUGCUACUCCUCCUUUGUCAUCUGGUUUUCAAGAUCAUGCAAAGGCGUACCAACAUAUUCUAGAGUCGGUGAGCCUGAAAAUGACCCAGAAAAGUCUCCUCUUGGAGUAUGUAUACCACUCGAAGGCGAGCUUCUGGGUUGUACGCCCCAACUCCUGCAGCACCUCCCCCGGAUGAAACAAAACAGAACACCUCACUGCUCUUACCAAGGCCCUCACUGCACUGACUCUACCUGCCAGCGUCCAUUAUUAGGUAGAGGUGCUUAGUGCUGCUACCAGAGGUCCGAACAUAAAGGGCUAGAGAAGAGAAAAGAAAACUCAGGAGUUUCCGGAGUCAUUGUCAUCCACUUCUUAGGUACAAAGUGUUCCGUGAAAAGCGGGCACCUCCCAUGACAUUUGCUAUUUCUUCCUUUCCUCUCCUUUUUCCUGUUUUUAAUCUGAAUGCUUGGCCGCUGGUCUGUCUUCAUGGCUUUACACUAAUCAGUAAGAAAGAAACAGAGGUUGCACCAUGGCUCCCCCGUGGUUAAUGGAAGAGCGCGAGAAGGACAGACUGGGAGGAUGAGAUGAUCCAUGCUCAGGCACAAAUUCUUCUUCACUCCAGCAAUGCGGGGCGUGACCGUCCACCCUCUUCCUCCACCUCUCAAACCCCCUCAUCUGGCACUGUGCCACCUGGAUCGUAAUGGACCCCAACGAAGGAGGAGUCCCUAUACGAGGAUGGAAGCACAACAGGCAAAUCCCUGGAGGAAAGGCAACAGACUUUUUGUUUUUAGUGAAAAUUAACUAGAAAGUCUCCCAACCAGGGACAACCUCCUUGGAAAAAUGUGGCCUUUGGGCAACUGCUCCACAUUUGUUAACUAAGACUUGACAGACCCAAGGAAAAUGGAUCAACAGGACAAAUGACCAGGCCACUCGGAGGCCAUGUCAACUGUGGGGGUAUACCAGAGAUCACACGGUGCCUUGCUGGGCUCGCUCAACAAGACACUGGAGUCAAAAGCCCUGGUUUGCAUUCUGACCAUGCCUAUGGCUUCCGUGCUCUGGGACUCAUCAGCAAACUGGGUUUUGUAAUGCCAGCCCUUCUCAGGAUUUGUGUGAUGAAGAUUAUACUUAAAAAUAUCUAUGUAGUUUAAAAGGCGCUAUGUCAACUCCAAAAGGAGCUUGGGAGUAUAUUUAUAUGUAUAUAAAUGGGUAUACAUUUGGUAUACAUUUAAAUGUCUAAACACUGGCUGUUACUAUUCAAAAAGACUUUUCCAGAAUUUGAGAGAAGGUUAUUUUAUAAUAGAACAAUUACAACAAAAAAUAAUUAAAACAGGGGUGCCUGAGUGGCUAAGUCAGUUAAGUGCUUGACUCUUGAUCUCAGCUCGAGUCUUGAUCUCAGUGUCAUGAGUUCAAGCCCCUCAUUGGGGAACCUAAUUUAAAAAAAAAUAAAAUAUAAAUAAUGAGACUGGCUAAGUAAGUAGCCCAAGAAACUGCCUGUAAAUUCAUGGCUGAAGAGAUCUAGAGCAACCCCAAUUCAACCCAAGUGACCUUAGUGUAAUCUCGGAGAGUCAGGAUUCCAAUGUGAUUAGAAGUAAAAAAGCCUAAGUUGAAUCAUGUUAUUCUCUUCUCUAUCCAUUCACUUUUCUAUAUGAUCUUCUGUCAUCCAUUCAUCCAUCCAUCCUCUGUCAUGUCUAACAUGUGAUAAACACAGACUACUCUGCACCAGCGUACACAGGUAAGACAUAGAAUCUGCUCUCAGAGAGCCCAUGCCAAGUACUGGGAAAUAGUAUAAUCAGAAAGGAGAAUUACGUGCUGUAAGUAUAAUAACAGAAGUCACUGCACAGUAGUGGGGGUUCACACAGGAUGGAAGGGACAACUCUGCCUGCACCUCUUGUUCUUACAAUCCCUGCUCACCAAGUGACCUUCUGAUUAUAAUUUGGCUCCCUUGGGGAUUGUCCUUCAGAGGAAGAUGUACCAACUGGGGCACGUAAGUCAUUUUGCUUGGGGUUGGUGGUGACAUUGCUUUUUGUAAAACAGAAAGAUUUGUGUUAUAAUGUAGUCAGUUUCCCUGGACUCGAUUAGCAUGAUCACCUCUGAGUUUCUGGACUAGGCUGACUCAAUCAUGCCCUUCCGUGAGGCUGGGCCAGCACUGCCAGCUGGGCUGCCCUCUGCUUUUGCACCGUCCUGUUCUAUAAAUACUGCAGGAGGGUGGUUUUAGCUGGUAUGGGAACUUCCUCUAUCCUUCUGCUUUCAAAAAUCAUGUGUCCCACUCUUUUCUGUAAGCCAGUGACUGCUACCUCUUCACUUCCCCUCUAGCUGUUCCACCAAAAGAAACACCUGGCGCUGGUUUUUAGCAUUUUAGCUUGGCCAAGGCUCUCCUUGUUAACCCACCCAGUGGCCCUUUCUGUCUCUCCGUCUGCAGAGCUUGCUGACCGCCACUCCCUUUUUCACGGGGCUUCCGUGAUGAUGAGUGAUUAUUAUCCUCUUGUUUCUUUGAGUGAUGUUGCUCCUCUUGCUUCUCUUCCUCUUUAACAGUGGGCUUUCUCAAGGUCCCCCUCAAUGUCUAGAAAGAAGGAAGCAGGAGGGUCCUACCAAUGCCCCCAUUUCUACCAUAAUUUCUAAGCAGAUGGCUCCCAAAUCUCCAGCUUCAUACCUCUCCUGCAUUCCAGACCCAUAUUUCCGACUCAUUUGUUGGACAGUGGCACUGACCAUCCCAUCAGCACUUCAGAAAUCAGUUUCCAGAAGUGAACUCAUAGGCAUUUUGUCUUUAUUGCCAAUGGCCUGUCUCAGUCCGCCCCCUCACCUCGGUUCACACCUUCCUCCCUUCCACCCUCACUGUCCUGGCAUUUGUGCAGGUCCUCAGCCCGUUGGGAUAAGUAGUGCUGACUGUCUCUCCCCAGCCUGGUGUUCCACUCUCUCCUUUCACCCUAGUACAGGCUUCACACAGGACAGGUGAGGAUGGAACUCUGUGUCAAACCAUUGGAUUCUUCUUUCCAGGUUGACAAAUACUAAGGGACAGGUUAGAUAGAGACUGGCUUUCAGAUUUCACCUCUACCCCACCAAUCUUGUCCGCAGACCUUGGACAAGGUAGUUAACCACUCUGAAUACAGCUCCCUCUUCAAUCAUAGUGGGGUGGCUAUUUGCUACACCUCAGGCUGAGAGGAGGAAACUUGGUAGAUCCCACCCCGUGAUAUUUGUUGGUAUCUUGGCUGAAAUGAAAGAGGAAAAGAAGACAAUUUGAUUUGCCUUGCUUGGCCUGCAGUGCCCAGCCCUGUGUACUGUACAUGGUCAGAACUCAAAUAUUUGUACUGCCUUUUCAAUAAGGAACUCUAUUUUAGCAAGUCCCAAGUAGAGGAAGAUAUCUCUAAGGGCUAGGGCCAUCCUUUUAAGGGAUAAUUUUUCUUUCUUCAAGCAGUUACCAGGAUUGACAAUCUUUUUCUCUGACCAUCAAAUCUAAAUCAUUUUACCAGCCUGAUGAAUAGCUGCCCAUUGCAUACCCAGCUGGGGAGGAAGGAGACCCAGUGAGGCUAGAAGUCAUCUCUGUGUGAGCCAGAUUUGUUUUGUGAUUCUCUACUGAGGCCCCUUCAGGGUGGCUGCAAUCACUCUGCAAUCAGUGGCUGGGCAUAAAACAAAUAGGUGAAAUUUUUAAAAACUGGAUUGGGGUUGCAAGAGGGUAGAGGUGGGAAUGGAAGUUAACGGAAAUGGGAUUGUUUAUUCUCUUAUCCUAAGGGCAACUCAAUAACUGCCCCUGGAAAUCUGAAAUGCUAUAAAGGAAGUGCUUUAUUUAUGGAGGUCACAGUGAAGCAUGUCCAUGAUAAGCUGUGUCUGCCCUGGGCUGUGACCGGACACAGGGGAGGGACCCGAUUGUCUCCUAGGUCCCUUCCAGCUCUUGAUCCUAUGACACUGUGUCCACCAUGGGCAGUGUAGCCCAGAAUCACUCUGGGUGGAUGGGUCUGAAGGCUUCACUCUGCUUUGAUGGUUCAAAGGAUUCGACAGCAAGAAUUUACCCCAAUUUCUUUUCCUCACUCAGUAAUGACGGUGACAAAUCUUAUUCUCAGUUAGAUUCGAAUUUUCAGAUUUCCUACUCAACACUUGCUGUUUUCUAACACACGCACGCGAGAAUCAGGACUUACACAUGGACGGAAUCAAUUAUAAUUUGAUUAAGACGGAGCAGAAAGAAUGGAAGUAAUAACAAUCAUUUCAUAUAAGCCUUCCUUCCCCACCCAGGCUUUGGGUGUACCAAAAAAAAAAAAAAGGUAAUUAAAAC